rnacentral:rRNA from 1 species
UACGAAGGGGGCUAGCGUUGCUCGGAAUCACUGGGCGUAAAGCGCACGUAGGCGGAUUUUUAAGUCAGGGGUGAAAUCCUGGAGCUCAACUCCAGAACUGCCUUUGAUACUGGGAAUCUCGAGUCCGGGAGAGGUGAGUGGAACUCCGAGUGUAGAGGUGAAAUUCGUAGAUAUUCGGAAGAACACCAGUGGCGAAGGCGGCUCACUGGCCCGGUACUGACGCUGAGGUGCGAAAGCGUGGGGAGCAAACGGG